GGACUACCAGGGUAUCUAAUCCCGUUCGCUCCCCAUGCUGUCGUGUCUCAGCGUCAGUCGUGUGCCAGGCAGCCGCCUUCGCCUCUGGUGUUCCUCCGGAUCUCUACGCAUUUCACCACUACACCCGGAAUUCCGCUGCCCUCUCACACCCUCUAGGUCGCCAGUCUCGCACAGCCUCCGCGCGUUGAGCGCACGGCUUUCAUGCACGACUUAACGACCCGCCUGCACACCCUUUAAGCCCAGUAAAUCCGGAUAACGCUCGCCUCCUACGUAUUACCGCGGCUGCUGGCAC
rnacentral:rRNA from 1 species